AUCCAGAUGAAGAGUCCCAAAUUAGACGAAACGCGAGUCCUGGAU
rnacentral:hammerhead_ribozyme from 1 species